GGCCUCGUGGCCCAAUGGCAAGGCGUCUGACUACGAUUCAAACAACAUCUUCGAGUGUUCUUGAAAGUGAUCAGGAGAUUCUGGGUUCGACCCCCAGCGAGGUCA